rnacentral:rRNA from 1 species
GAUGAACGCUGGCGGCGUGCCUAACACAUGCAAGUCGAACGGGUGUGGUAUCAGGGAAAAGGGGUUUACUUCUUUGACCAGAUAACACACUAGUGGCGGACGGGUGAGUAACGCGUGGAUAACCUGCCUUAUACAGGGGGAUAACAGGGAGAAAUUCUUGCUAAUACCCCAUAGGUAUGUCUGACGCAUGUUGGACAUAUUAAAGCUUUGGCGGUAUAAGAUGGGUCCGCGUCUGAUUAGCUAGUUGGUGGGGUAAAGGCCCACCAAGGCGACGAUCAGUAGCCGGCUUGAGAGAGUGGACGGCCACAUUGGGACUGAGACACGGCCCAAACUCCUACGGGAGGCAGCAGUGAGGAAUUUUGCGCAAUGGGGGAAACCCUGACGCAGCGACGCCGCGUGGAGGAUGAAGGCCUUCGGGUCGUAAACUCCUGUCAGAGGUGAAGAAUACCCGCAAGGGUUUGACGGUAACCUCAGAGGAAGCCCCGGCUAACUACGUG